rnacentral:tRNA from 1 species
UUUAAAGGAUAAAAGACAAUCCAGU